GACGAACGCUGGCGGCGUGCCUAAUACAUGCAAGUAGAACGCUGAAGAGAGGAGCUUGCUCUUCUUGGAUGAGUUGCGAACGGGUGAGUAACGCGUAGGUAACCUGCCUGGUAGCGGGGGAUAACUAUUGGAAACGAUAGCUAAUACCGCAUAAAAUUGAUUAUUGCAUGAUAAUUGAUUGAAAGAUGCAAUUGCAUCACUACCAGAUGGACCUGCGUUGUAUUAGCUAGUUGGUGAGGUAACGGCUCACCAAGGCGACGAUACAUAGCCGACCUGAGAGGGUGAUCGGCCACACUGGGACUGAGACACGGCCCAGACUCCUACGGGAGGCAGCAGUAGGGAAUCUUCGGCAAUGGGGGGAACCCUGACCGAGCAACGCCGCGUGAGUGAAGAAGGUUUUCGGAUCGUAAAGCUCUGUUGUAAGAGAAGAACGGGUGUGAGAGUGGAAAGUUCACACUGUGACG
rnacentral:rRNA from 1 species